GCCUUUACGAAUACAGAGCUUUGAUAUCUCAAUGUUAUCUGGCCAAGCAGAACACAUGAUCUCCAAGGAUUCACCAGAAAUGCCCUUAGAGAUGUUGACAACGAAAGUGAUGUGAAGAAUAAACUCAGGUUCAGUUCUGGUGGACUUUGAAGUCGGAACUGAUCUAUCAAACAUGGUCGCCUCAACUUUAAUGUCUUCUUUCUCCCCAUACUUCCUCUUCAAGCUAAUCCACUGCUCUCCAGGCCGUUCCUCCACAGUGAAUGGACCAUAACUGCUCGGAGACUGCAAACAUAUCCAAUCAAAGUGAUCAAUCCCCAAACUGGAGAGGGCACUGUAUCAACCUAAGUAUUGCAUAUCACAUGUACAUAACUCUUAUACCAAACUCAGAUUCCAGGAAGGCUAAAGUAUCUACCUUUCUGCCACCGAAAUGGAAUAAUUAAGAUUGAAAGCUUAAAGUAUCAAGCUUUAUUGGGCAUUACCUGAAGAGGAGGCGAGUGAUUGAGUUCGUAAUCGAUCUCAUUACGGAUGAGUCGGCAGAUGUUUCCUUGGAAAGCUGAUUUCUGCAUUUCUGAGACGUAACUCCCCGAGCUUAGACAUCUCCCUCCGAUCAAAAAGUUCCGAUUUUGAAUCGUGGGUAAACCGAUUUUAGGGUUCCGGUACGCAAUCGAAGGGGACGAAUCGGAGAAGACGGAUCUUCUCAGACAUCUGACGAAUCGAGCCAUUGACAGAGAGAUGAGAGGAGAAAUGACGACGAUUCGUAGGGUUUAACAGUUUUUAAGAGAUUUAAUCGUACGGCUAAUAUCGCGCGUUAUAGUUUGGGAGAAAGUAAUCUACACCGUCGAUUGAGAUUAAUAACAGUCAAAACAGAGGUUCCAUCGUACGGCCAGUAUCGUGUGUUCUAGUUCGGAGAAAGUAAUCUGAACCGUCAAAAUAAUGACAUUUUCGUAAAAUUAAGAAAAUAAUUUUUUUUUGGCGGUAAAAUGCGAUUCUCCCGCCCAUCUCCGACCAAUCAGGGAUCUUAGCUAAUCAUUGCAAUUAACAAUCAACAUUUCCCACAAAUCAUGAUAUUAACGAUGCAGAAAUCAUGUUGUUACGCACAAUAAUUACCUUUACUAAUCCCUCAGAUUAUCCUAAUCCCUCAUUAUCCUAAUCCCUCAGAUUAUCCUAAUCCGUCAUAUCGAUUAAGAUUUGUAUGUAGAUACCACACAAUCAUGUUUCAUAGUGGAAAAAGAUCCAAAGUUCUGUAGAAAAUGACAGUUUUCAUAAUCAAAAGCUUAUUAGAUACCAAAUCAAAUUCAAAAGAGAAUAUAGUAAUUGCAUCAUACUAUAUCUCCUAAUAUUUUGUAUAAAGCAAACCGAAUUAACACACAUCUAACUAUAGUAUAUUGCAUUCAGCUGGCUUGUCCCUUUAACUUCUGGUGUUUUACAGUGAAUCCACACUAGGGAAUAAAAAAAGAAGUAAAGAACACAUCCAUGGAGUUGCUCCUCUGUUAAGGAACACUAAGAAUUGGUUCGGAAGUCACCAAAGUCGAACACAAGUGUUAGCUAGCAAGUUCCCUAAGGGGGAAAAUUAAACUUACCCGAGAAGUCAUCAUUCUACAAACUUAACUUUAAAGCACUUUCAAUGCAAACAAGAAACACCACGAUUCCAUUCUCACUAACAUGUAAAAAUGAAACAGUCUUGAUCUGUCCAUGCUAAUAAUUAUGCAUCAGGGAGUAGUUUUUACACAACCUGUAAGCUAAGAACCCAGCCAACAACAAAAAAAAACUGCAACUGAAUUUAUUAGUUGGAGAAUAUCCAAAUCAAAGAGAGUCAAGUACUCUCACAUACAGACUGCAUUUAUGAGGAACCAAGCAGUAGAAAGCCAAAGAGACUAAUGUCUAAUUCUUCUCGACAUAAGAUUUAACGCUUUCCAUCCAUCUAACGUACUCGAAUUUACUUUUGUUCUUCAUAUAACGAUGCAAGAAAACAGCAAGCUCGUCGCUUAUACCUCUUUCCUCUAAAAACUGAUAAAGAGCGUCUUGAAGCUCAUCAUCCAGUUCCCUGUAACAACCAAAAACAAACACACAAUCACUUCAUCUUUUUGCAUAGUAGUCCUAUAUCUCUUUUUUUUUUGUUAUGUUAAAGAAAAGAAUGAGGUCAGCGUACUCAAACUCAGGUCCACCGUAGGAAGACGGCGAACUGUUGAUGCCUUUACGAAUACAGAGCUUUGAUAUCUCAAUGUUAUCUGGCCAAGCAGAACACAUGAUCUCCAAGGAUUCACCAGAAAUGCCCUUAGAGAUGUUGACAACGAAAGUGAUGUGAAGAAUAAACUCAGGUUCAGUUCUGGUGGACUUUGAAGUCGGAACUGAUCUAUCAAACAUGGUCGCCUCAACUUUAAUGUCUUCUUUCUCCCCAUACUUCCUCUUCAAGCUAAUCCACUGCUCUCCAGGCCGUUCCUCCACAGUGAAUGGACCAUAACUGCUCGGAGACUGCAAACAUAUCCAAUCAAAGUGAUCAAUCCCCAAACUGGAGAGGGCACUGUAUCAACCUAAGUAUUGCAUAUCACAUGUACAUAACUCUUAUACCAAACUCAGAUUCCAGGAAGGCUAAAG
rnacentral:lncRNA from 1 species